rnacentral:snoRNA from 1 species
AAGACCAUACUUUCCGGGCUCAUUUCUGUAGUUUGUUAGUAGAGAAGUUUCUCGAAAUGUGCAGAGUACCAAGUUAAGAGGUGAAGAGUAAAAACCAGAAAAGGGAGAUGAUCCCU